rnacentral:rRNA from 1 species
CGGUAAUACCAGCUCUCCGAGUGGUAGGGACAAUUAUUGGGCUUAAAGCGUCCGUAGCCGGCUUAGCAAGUCUUCUGUUAAAUUCAGCGACUUAAUCGUUGAGCCGCGGGAGAUACUACUAGGCUAGGAGGCGGGAGAGGCCGACGGUAUUCCCGGGGUAGGGGUGAAAUCCUAUAAUCCCGGGAGGACCACCAGUGGCGAAGGCUGUCGGCUAGAACGCGCUCGACGGUGAGGGACGAAAGCUGGGGGAGCGAACCGGAUUAGAUACCCGGGUAGUCCCAGCCGUAAACGAUGCGGGCUAGGUGUUGAGGUGGCUACGAGCCACUUCAGUGCCGCAGGGAAGCCAUUAAGCCCGCCGCCUGGGGAGUACGGCCGCAAG